ACUUCUCUUUCUCUUUCUCUUUCGCUUUCUCUUUCAGAUUCACCAAAUUUCAAAAAAUUUCUCUCUUCCACCAAACCUUGCCGUACGUGGGACACUAGCGUCAAAUCUCCAUGAUCAUGGCUACAAAUGGAAGCUUCUGAGGCCCACACGACCACCACCAUCGGUGCUUGCCGGCCUGACCUUCUCGUCUCCCUGUUUUCUCGUUCUCUCAAGUCCAGCUGUGGCCAAGCUUCUGGUUGCCCCUUCUCUGGCAGUGCUUCUCAGCGGCAUCACCAGCGUUGGUGGCCGUCGGGAGGCACACUAGUUGGAACUUUAUGAGCAGGCAGGAGGCACACUAGCUGGAAGUCUGGAACUUAAUGAGCAGGUCAUGCCGCUUACGGUUGUCAAAGAACUUGAUCUUGAAGCUUACAAGACCUUCUUUUUUUUCUUUUGUGGGAAUUGUGUAUUAUGAAUUUAUGAUGAUGGGAAGAUUGUUUCUUGUUAACAAAGUGUAUAUUUCAACAAAACUGUUGUUGUAUGACCUUGUGGUCAAAGUGUACAUUCUAAUAAAGUUCUGUUCAUUUUUAGAUCAAA